UGCUUGCGUAAUCGACGGUGAUGCAGCUAUGGCUGCUUCCUUGAUCAGGACGUGUAUGGAGUUCAGGUGAUUAUUUCUUUCCCUCGACGUCGGGACGUCGCGUUAAUUAAAACCGCUUCAAGCAUUCGCACACACAUCUGUAUCGACAUGAUAUCAUUUUCACUGAGGCAACCGCUCUGCGAUAUCGUUAGAAGUAAAAACGCCAGGAAGCACAUUCUGCACGGCUUGUUUCGAACGUGUGUGCAAUGCCAGUGUUACCACACAACACCGCGAUACUUCAAGAAAAAGAAGGACAACCCCUUCGUCGUGAUAAAGCCCAAGAAGAAAUUGGCAGUUGUGGAUGUGUGGAACGAAAUGACAGUGUCAGAAUUGGCGAACUCGACCAAAAGGGACGUGGACGAUGUCAUUGAGGCUAUUUCUCUGUCUGAUGCGUUCAAACGAUACUCUGACGACACUGUCAUAGAAGACAAGAAUGUAUUGCAAAACACUGUGCGGAAGCUCGGGGUGAAAUUUAAAAUAAUAUCCAGGCCGGGCGAUGAGAAGGACACGAAGGAUCACGACGUCACCCAACGGCCUCCGCCGGACGAAUCGGUACUGAUCAAGCGUCUCCCAGUGGUGACGAUCAUGGGUCACGUCGAUCACGGCAAGACGACCUUACUAGAUACAUUACGUAACACAUCCGUCGUAGACACGGAAUACGGCGGCAUCACUCAACACAUCGGAGCCUUUAACGUAACGCUGGAAAGCGGAGAGCGAGUCACGUUUCUGGACACCCCCGGUCACGCCGCGUUCAACCUAAUGCGAAUGAGGGGCGCCCGGGUGACGGAUAUCGUAGUGUUGGUGGUCGCGGCGGACGACGGUGUGAUGGAGCAAACCGUGGAAAGCAUAAAUAUGGCGAAGGCCGCGAACGUCCCGAUCAUCGUGGCGAUCAACAAGAUCGACAAGCCGGAAGCCGACAUCGAGAGGACGCAGAAUAUGCUCUCGCAACAGGGGAUUCACGUGGAGGCGCUCGGCGGGGACGUCCAGUCCGUCAAUAUUUCGGCGUUGCGCGGGACCAACGUGAACACCUUGAUCGAGGCUAUAACGCUACAAUCUGAGCUGAUCGGAUUGAAGGGCGACCCGACCGGCUUAGUCGAAGCCGUGAUAAUCGAGUGCUCGACCAACCUCCAACGCGGCAAGCUGGCGACGAUUCUCAUUCAACGCGGUACUCUGAGGAAGGGCGCUUGUCUCGUGAGCGGGCAAACGUGGGCUAAGGUGAGGUCCAUGUUCGACCAUUCCGGGAAGCCGGUCUCGGAGGCUAAACUGUCGGAGGCGGUGCAGAUCAUCGGUUGGAAGGGAGACCUACCUAUCGCCGGGGACGCGAUAUUAGAGGUCGAGAACGAGAAGAAGGCGCGCAUGGUGGUACGCUACAGAGAGUCGGAGCGAGGGAAGCUCUUGUCGCAGGAACAUAAAGUCAUGGCGGACAAGAAACACGAAGAAUACUUGAAAGAGUACAAGAAGCACUUGGAGAAGAGAAGGGCGCACAGCAGGUACUACAAGUUAAUAUCGCCAAUUCCUAAAAGUGACACCAACAGUGACACGCCCAAGCUCAACAUCGUCAUCAAGGGCGACGUCGCCGGCUCCGUGGAGACCAUAUUGGACGUUUUCAACACGUACGGGAGCGACGACAAGUGCCAGUUGAGCAUCGUCCAUUACGGCGUCGGGCCCGUCACGGAGACGGACUUACAAAUGGCGGAGACGUUCGACGCCAUCGUAUAUCAUUUUAACGUGGGUAUACCGAAGAAUUUGCAAGAGGAGGCCGAUAAAAAGAAAAUACCGGUGCGCGCGUACAACGUGAUCUACAAGCUGGUCGAUGACGUUAGGAAGGAGAUAAACAAUAGGCUGCUGCCGGUCGAUGUCGAGGAAGUGAUAGGCGAAGCGAACGUACUGCAAGAGUUCGAGGUAACGGAGAAGAAGAAGAAAGUUAAGGUCGCGGGGUGCCGAUGCGUCAAAGGCAGCCUCAAGAAGACCGGGAUGUACCGUUUGGUACGCGAACAGGAGAUUCUCUUCACCGGGAAACUGGCGUCGAUGAGGCACAUGAAGAACGAAACGGAAACGAUCAACAUCAACGUAGAGUGCGGCCUGAGGCUCGAGGAUCCCACGGUAUCCUUCAAGCCCGGCGACCUUCUGAUUUGUUACCAGAUGAUCGAAAAGCCGCAAGAGACCGACUGGGAUCCCGGAUUCUAAAUUCUAGAAGUAUAAACCGAGCGGAAACCGCAUAAUAAUAUUAUCCCUGACCGGCGCGUUCUUCAUUCCACGCAAGGUCGAAGGGCCGUGGCGCGCAGGAAAACUUUAGGGUAUGCGGGAUCACACGGACGACAUUAGGACGCGUAAGUCUCGCGAAAUCGCCGCUGGAGAUGCUGGUACGCCGAGAGGACGC